GACGAACGCUGGCGGCGUGCUUAACACAUGCAAGUCGAACGGAAAGGCCCUGCUUUUGUGGGGUGCUCGAGUGGCGAACGGGUGAGUAACACGUGAGUAACCUGCCCUUGACUUUGGGAUAACUUCAGGAAACUGGGGCUAAUACCGGAUAGGAGCUCCUGCUGCAUGGAGGGGGUUGGAAAGUUUCGGCGGUUGGGGAUGGACUCGCGGCUUAUCAGCUUGUUGGUGGGGUAGUGGCUUACCAAGGCUUUGACGGGUAGCCGGCCUGAGAGGGUGACCGGCCACAUUGGGACUGAGAUACGGCCCAGACUCCUACGGGAGGCAGCAGUGGGGAAUAUUGCACAAUGGGCGGAAGCCUGAUGCAGCAACGCCGCGUGCGGGAUGACGGCCUUCGGGUUGUAAACCGCUUUCGCCUGUGACGAAGCGUGAGCGACGGUAAUGGGUAAAGAAGCACCGGCUAACUACGUG
rnacentral:rRNA from 1 species